rnacentral:rRNA from 1 species
CCUACGGGUGGCAGCAGUGAGGAAUAUUGGUCAAUGGGCGAGAGCCUGAACCAGCCAAGUCGCGUGAGGGAGUACUGCCCUAUGGGUUGUAAACCUCUUUUGUCGGGGAGCAAAAGCCGGACGUGUCCGGCUGUGAGCGUACCCGAAGCAACAGCAUCGGCUAACUCCGUGCCAGCAGCCGCGGUAAUACGGAGGACGCGAGCGUUAUCCGGAUUUAUUGGGGUUAAAGGGUGCGCAGGCGGAUGUUUAAGUCAGCGGUCAAAUCGUGGGGCUAAACCCCAUCCAGCCGUUGAAACUGGGGAUCUAGAGUGGGCGAGAGGUAUGCGGAAUGCGUGGUGUAGCGGUGAAAUGCAUAGAGAGCACGCAGAACCCCGAUUGCGAAGGCAGCAUACCGGUGCACAACUGACGCUCAGGCACGAAAGCGUGGGUAGCGAACAGGAUUAGAUACCCGGGUAGUC